rnacentral:rRNA from 1 species
GACGGAGGGUGCAAGCGUUGUUCGGAAUUACUGGGCGUAAAGCGUACGUAGGCGGCGGAUUAAGUCGAAUGUUAAAGCCUGAGGCUCAACCUCAGAGAUGCACUCGAUACUGGUCUGCUAGAGGGUGAUAGAGGAAAGCGGAAUUCCCAGUGUAGCGGUGAAAUGCGUAGAUAUUGGGAGGAACAUCAGUAGCGAAGGCGGCUUUCUGGGUCACACCUGACGCUGAGGUACGAAAGCGUGGGGAGCAAACGGGG